rnacentral:ncRNA from 2 species
AUUUACAAGUUUGUUUGUGGUGCGUUGCUGUCCCGGAUGACACAUACGCGCAAUGGGGGAAGCCAGUCUAAGUCUGGCGCUGUCCCGCAACGGUAGGAAGCCCACGCUUCAAGCCCGAUAACCCGCCACAAACUCAUCGACACU